ACUUGUGCCAUUUCCUAUCAGAGAGAAAUGUUUUGGUUUAAAGUAAAGAUGAAUAAUUAUUCAUCUGAAUAAAGAUUCAUAAUUUUGGCCAAAACCUUUGUGCCGCUUUUGACAUUCUCCUGUUCUGAAUAGCGUAUGCGUAUUGGUAUCAAAGUUUUGGAAUUCACAGUGUUCUGCUGUGUUAGGACAGUGUAUGUUACUUUUGCUGUGAUGUCACAGGAUCAAUUGAGCUUCUGGGAAUAACAUUUAAAUGCUGUCUGAGUGGUCCGAAAUAAUCAGAGAGUAGGUGGAGCCGUUAGCUACACUUUCAGUUUCAAAUAUUCUGCAUCCCGAGGUUUGAAUUUGCACUCACAAUGACUCCUGGGUAGUAGCCUCCUACUGUGAUGUUCUGAGUCCUGGUAGUUGCCGCCAGGCCGAAAAUAAGGAUCAGCACAGAUACAACGAGCAGCAUCACCGUCACAGUUAUGGAUUUCCUCUUCCUUCUCUUAAAGGAACCUACAGAUUUUCCAGGCACGUCCCACCAGGAAGAGGCUCAGGGGGCGGCCCAGGACAUGCUGGAGGGACUAUGUCUCUCGACUGUCCUGGGAACGCUGUUCUUGAGCUUCCCCCAGAGGAGUUGGAGGAGGUGUCUUGGGAGAGGGAAGUCUGGGCCUCUAUCCUUAGUCUGCUGCCCCCAUGACCCGGUCCCGGAUAAGCAGAAGACUACGAGUAGGAGAUCUAAACAGAGCUGUGUGAUAUUGUUUUAUAGCCUAACUCUGCUAUGAACUUCUCAGCAACUUCAUCCCUGACCUGCCUACUGUGUUCCUUGGUCUUCAUGAAGUUUGAACAAACCCUUUCGCAGAACAGCUGUAUUUAUACUGUGAUUAAA